AUUGAACGCUGGCGGCAUGCCUUACACAUGCAAGUCGAACGGUAACGGGCCUUCGGUUGCCGACGAGUGGCGAACGGGGGCGUAAUACAUCGGCACGUGUCCCCUCGUGGGGGAAAACGAGGCGAAAGCUUUGCUAAUACCGCAUACGAUCUACGAAAGAAAGCAGCGUACCUCAAGGCCUUGAGCGGGCGUAGCGGCCGCUGGCAGAUUAGGCCGUGGGGGGGAUAAUAGCUUACCAAGCCGACGAUCUGUAGCUGGUCUGAGAGGAUGAUCAGCCACAUUGAACCUGAGAAACGGCCCAGACCCCAAGGGAGGGAAGCGGUGGGAAAUUUUGGCCAAGGGGCGCAGGCCGGCGCCAGACAUGCCGCGUGGAGAAUGAAGGCCUCCGAGUGGUAAACUGUUUUUGUAGGGAACAAAAAGCCUUCUAGUAACACAGCACGUUCAUGACGGUACCGUAAGAAUAAGCACCGGCUAACUACGU
rnacentral:rRNA from 1 species